GAUGAACGCUGGCGGCGUGCUUAAUACAUGCAAGUCGAACGGAGAUAGUAGCAAUAUUAUCUUAGUGGCGAACGGGUGAGUAACGCGUUGGUGACCUGCCCCGAAGAGAGGGAUAGCAGUUCGAAAGGACUGAUAAUACCUCAUGUGGUUGAGAGUCUUAGAAUCUCUUAACUAAACGGAUUUAUUCGCUUCGGGAGGGGCCUGCGUCCCAUCAGCUAGUUGGUAAGGUAAUGGCUUACCAAGGCGAUGACGGGUAGGGGACCUGAGAGGGUGGCCCCCCACAAUGGAACUGAAACACGGUCCAUACACCUACGGGUGGCAGCAGUAGGGAAUAUUGGUAAUGUGCGAAAGCGCGAACCAGCAACGCCGCGUGCACGAUGAAGGCCUUCGGGUCGUAAAGUGCUUUUAGAGAGGAUGAGGAAGGACAGUACUUUCUGAAUAAGCCUCGGCUAACUACGUG
rnacentral:rRNA from 1 species